GGAAGGGAAGGAGGAAGUAAAGUAGGAAGGAGUAAGGCAUAACCCAGUUACUUCUCCAGAGGAUUGAGCUCAGGUGCUGCCAUUACUGAAGGGACUACUGAACCAUCCUGUCAAUAAUACUCCGCCUACUCAAGGAAACGGAUUUUGUUGCAUAAACUACCACCCUCCAGGGAGAAGGGAGAGAGCGCAUCACUGCAUCACUACCAUGAAGUUCUCUUCCUGCUCCAUAUGUUAUCAAACUGACUGAUGAGUUGUUCUGCCUUCAUCUGUGAAUAACAACAGUGCGUCUUUGGUGCCAGUACAGGAGUUGACCACCUCUAGCUAUAGAAAUGAGUAAUUUAUUUUUAUCUAAUUUAUUUCUAUAAAUUAUAAAUCUAUCAAAUAUUGUCUUUCACUGGCGUGGUGCCAGUACAGGAGUUGACUACCUCUAGCUAUAUAGUGAGAUUAUAUUGCCAGAAAUUGCUUAUUUAUCAGUGAUGCAGUAAAAGCCAAAAAUGUAUUAGAUUUGGAUCUGCUAGUAACCAGCUUAAAAAAAUUUGAAUUUUUACUGAAAAUUGUCUUAAGAGUUUAAGUCUACAGAAUUCUCCAGUUUUUCCCCCCAAAAAUUGUCAACUUAUGAAACUCUUAGGACAAUUUUUCAUCUUUAAGUUGGGUACUAGCAGAAUCCAAAUCUAAUACAUUUUUGGCUUUUUAGUGCAUCACUGAUAGAUAAGCAACUUCUGACAAUAUGAUUUUACUAUAUAAAUGUUAAAAAUACCUUUGAAAUACAGAACUUCAUUCUGAAGUCUAAUGUAGAACACAGUAGCUGCAAUUGAAGUUCUAAAAAGCUGAGAAGCUGGCUACAUAAUCAAAAUAUUUAGCCUAAAUGUUUAAAAAAUGCAUAUCAAACCAACACACAAUACUUCACUAAAUUAGAGACAUAAAAAGAAUAACUACAUUUGGCUACAACAGCUGCACAAAGACCUUGCAAUUGUGACUAGACUUGCAUCUGUAGAAAGUGUAAUGCUUCAUGUCUGUGCAAUUUGGACCAUUAAACACAAACUGAAAGGCUUGGAGCAUACUGAAAAGAACACGAUGAGAUGGA